rnacentral:rRNA from 1 species
UUUUAUUUUGAUAUUAUUUUUUAUUGUUGAAAAAAUUAAUAAUAAUUUAUUGUUAAUAAAAAUUAAAAUUUAUAAUAUUUUUAUUUUUAUUUUUUAGUUUUAAAUAAAAAAAAUAAAAUUUAUAUAUAUAAAAAUUUUGUUAUAAAUUAUAAUAGUUUAUUUAUUUGUUUUUUAUAAUAAAUAAUAGUAUUUUUUUUUAUUAUUUUAUAAAAAAAAAUAAUUUAAUUAUAAUUAUUAAAAGUAAUUUUGUUAUUUAGAAUAAUAUAUUAAUAUAAAUAACAAAAAUAUUAAAUAUUUUUUAAAUUUUUUGGGGAUUUAAGUUAUAAUUUUUUGUGUCUGCUCAGUGA